rnacentral:piRNA from 1 species
UAACCCCGCCGUAGCCAUCCCAGUGUCCUG